rnacentral:rRNA from 1 species
GGUUAAGCGACUAAGCGUACACGGUGGAUGCCCUGGCAGUCAGAGGCGAUGAAGGACGUGCUAAUCUGCGAAAAGCGCCGGCGAGGUGAUAUGAACCCUUGACCCGGCGAUGUCCGAAUGGGGAAACCCAGUGCAAUCCGUUGCACUAUCGUUAACUGAAUACAUAGGUUAACGAGGCGAACCGGGGGAACUGAAACAUCUAAGUACCCCGAGGAAAAGAAAUCAACCGAGAUUCCCCCAGUAGCGGCGAGCGAACGGGGAGCAGCCCGGAGUCUGAAUCAGCUUGUGUGUUAGUGGAACGGUCUGGAAAGUCCGACGGUACAGGGUGAUAGUCCCGUACACGAAAGCACACAUGCUGUGAACUCGAAGAGUAGGGCGGGACACGUGGUAUCCUGUCUGAAUAUGGGGGGACCAUCCUCCAAGGCUAAAUACUCCUGACUGACCGAUAGUGAACCAGUACCGUGAGGGAAAGGCGAAAAGAACCCCGGCGAGGGGAGUGAAAAAGAACCUGAAACCGUGUACGUACAAGCAGUGGGAGCCUCUUUAUGGGGUGACUGCGUACCUUUUGUAUAAUGGGUCAGCGACUUAUAUUCUGUAGCAAGGUUAACCGUAUAGGGGAGCCGAAGGGAAACCGAGUCUUAACUGGGCGUUAAGUUGCAGGGUAUAGACCCGAAACCCGGUGAUCUAGCCAUGGGCAGGUUGAAGGUUGGGUAACACUAACUGGAGGACCGAACCGACUAAUGUUGAAAAAUUAGCGGAUGACCUGUGGCUGGGGGUGAAAGGCCAAUCAAACCGGGAGAUAGCUGGUUCUCCCCGAAAGCUAUUUAGGUAGCGCCUCGUGAACUCAUCUUCGGGGGUAGAGCACUGUUUCGGCUAGGGGGCCAUCCCGGCUUACCAACCCGAUGCAAACUACGAAUACCGAAGAAUGUUAUCACGGGAGACACACGGCGGGUGCUAACGUCCGUCGUGAAGAGGGAAACAACCCAGACCGCCAGCUAAGGUCCCAAAGUCAUGGUUAAGUGGGAAACGAUGUGGGAAGGCACAGACAGCCAGGAUGUUGGCUUAGAAGCAGCCAUCAUUUAAAGAAAGCGUAAUAGCUCACUGGUCGAGUCGGCCUGCGCGGAAGAUGUAACGGGGCUAAACCAUGCACCGAAGCUGCGGCAGCGACGCUUAUGCGUUGUUGGGUAGGGGAGCGUUCUGUAAGCCGUUGAAGGUGUGCUGUGAGGCAUGCUGGAGGUAUCAGAAGUGCGAAUGCUGACAUAAGUAACGAUAAAGCGGGUGAAAAGCCCGCUCGCCGGAAGACCAAGGGUUCCUGUCCAACGUUAAUCGGGGCAGGGUGAGUCGACCCCUAAGGCGAGGCCGAAAGGCGUAGUCGAUGGGAAACAGGUUAAUAUUCCUGUACUUGGUGUUACUGCGAAGGGGGGACGGAGAAGGCUAUGUCAGCCGGGCGACGGUUGUCCCGGUUUAAGCAUGUAGGCGGAGGUUCCAGGUAAAUCCGGUACCUUAUUAACGCUGAGGUGUGAUGACGAGGCACUACGGUGCUGAAGUGAUAAAUGCCCUGCUUCCAGGAAAAGCCUCUAAGCAUCAGGUAACACGAAAUCGUACCCCAAACCGACACAGGUGGUCAGGUAGAGAAUACCAAGGCGCUUGAGAGAACUCGGGUGAAGGAACUAGGCAAAAUGGUGCCGUAACUUCGGGAGAAGGCACGCUGAUGUGUAGGUGAAGCCCCUGCGGGUGGAGCUGAAAUCAGUCGAAGAUACCAGCUGGCUGCAACUGUUUAUUAAAAACACAGCACUGUGCAAACACGAAAGUGGACGUAUACGGUGUGACGCCUGCCCGGUGCCGGAAGGUUAAUUGAUGGGGUUAGCGGCAACGCGAAGCUCUUGAUCGAAGCCCCGGUAAACGGCGGCCGUAACUAUAACGGUCCUAAGGUAGCGAAAUUCCUUGUCGGGUAAGUUCCGACCUGCACGAAUGGCGUAAUGAUGGCCAGGCUGUCUCCACCCGAGACUCAGUGAAAUUGAACUCGCUGUGAAGAUGCAGUGUACCCGCGGCAAGACGGAAAGACCCCGUGAACCUUUACUAUAGCUUGACACUGAACACUGGUCCUUGAUGUGUAGGAUAGGUGGGAGGCUUUGAAGCGUGGACGCCAGUCUGCGUGGAGCCAACCUUGAAAUACCACCCUUUAAUGGCUGGUGUUCUAACGUAGACCCGUAAUCCGGGUUGCGGACAGUGUCUGGUGGGUAGUUUGACUGGGGCGGUCUCCUCCCAAAGAGUAACGGAGGAGCACGAAGGUUGGCUAAUCCUGGUCGGACAUCAGGAGGUUAGUGCAAUGGCAUAAGCCAGCUUGACUGCGAGCGUGACGGCGCGAGCAGGUGCGAAAGCAGGUCAUAGUGAUCCGGUGGUUCUGAAUGGAAGGGCCAUCGCUCAACGGAUAAAAGGUACUCCGGGGAUAACAGGCUGAUACCGCCCAAGAGUUCAUAUCGACGGCGGUGUUUGGCACCUCGAUGUCGGCUCAUCACAUCCUGGGGCUGAAGUAGGUCCCAAGGGUAUGGCUGUUCGCCAUUUAAAGUGGUACGCGAGCUGGGUUUAGAACGUCGUGAGACAGUUCGGUCCCUAUCUGCCGUGGGCGCUGGAGAAUUGAGGGGGGCUGCUCCUAGUACGAGAGGACCGGAGUGGACGCAUCACUGGUGUUCGGGUUGUCAUGCCAAUGGCACUGCCCGGUAGCUAAAUGCGGAAGAGAUAAGUGCUGAAAGCAUCUAAGCACGAAACUUGCCCCGAGAUGAGUUCUCCCUGAGACUUUAAGUCUCCUGAAGGAACGUUAAAGACGAUGACGUUGAAAGGUCGGGUGUGUAAGCGCAGCGAAGCGUUGAGCUAACCCAUACUAAUGAACCGUA